UGAGGAAUGUCUUGAAGUUAAAGGGAGAGGGGGCAAAGGACGCAUGCGCACUUUGAGGGCUUUCUAAUGCACUUCUGUUCAAAGAAAAGAUGGCGGUUCAGUUCGAUGGGUGCCAUUUCCAGGCAUUGCAAGGGACUGCCCCAAGUAACCCGCCAGGGGUCCUUACUUCUGUUGCUUCUAAGCUGUAUGCAAAAGCGUUGUUAACUUCUAUAAAGAUCAUGUGUAUUUUAAGAAAAUGCAGUUUUUAAAACUUUUAUGUAAGAACUGACAGAGGGAUUUGCUUGUAUGUGGGAAGCUGGCUUUGAGAAAGCACUCUGGCGGGUUUAUUCCGAGUCUAGAGCUCUCGAGAUCUGUCAGUAGAUACAUGUGCAACUAGAUACGGACAACAAUUGUAUUUUUUUAAAAUAAAUAUUUUUAAC
rnacentral:lncRNA from 1 species